GACGAACGCUGGCGGCGUGCUUAACACAUUCAAGUCGAACGGAAAGGCCCUGCUUUUGUGGGGUGCUCGAGUGGCGAACGGGUGAGUAACACGUGAGUAACCUGCCCUUGACUUUGGGAUAACUUCAGGAAACUGGGGCUAAUACCGGAUAGGAGCUCCUGCUGCAUGGUGGGGGUUGGAAAGUUUCGGCGGUUGGGGAUGGACUCGCGGCUUAUCAGCUUGUUGGUGGGGUAGUGGCUUACCAAGGCUUUGACGGGUAGCCGGCCUGAGAGGGUGACCGGCCACAUUGGGACUGAGAUACGGCCCAGACUCCUACGGGAGGCAGCAGUGGGGAAUAUUGCACAAUGGGCGGAAGCCUGAUGCAGCAACGCCGCGUGCGGGAUGACGGCCUUCGGGUUGUAAACCGCUUUCGCCUGUGACGAAGCGUGAGUGAUGGUAAUGGGUAAAGAAGCACCGGCUAACUACGUG
rnacentral:rRNA from 1 species